rnacentral:piRNA from 1 species
UUGCAUGUGAACGUAAUAAAUAAAUCC